rnacentral:rRNA from 1 species
CUGUGUGCAGUGGAGCUCGGUCCUGAUCGUAUGUGAGAAGGAUCUGAAGUUGAGCACAUCCGCUAGGACCCGAAAGAUAGCGAACUUUUCCUGGGCCGAAGGAAGCCAGGGGAAACCUUGGUGGACGUUCGAAUCAAUGCUGACGUGCAAAUCGCUUGUCAGAUCCAGGUAAAGGGGCGAAAGACUAAUCGAGCUAUCUAGUAGCUGGUUCCCCCCGAAGUUUCUCUCAGGAUAGCUGGGAACCUCGAGUUGCGCCUGGUAAAGCAAAUGAUCAGAAGCAUUGGGAUGUUUUUUAUCUCAACUUAUUCUCAAACUCUAAAUGGGCGCGGAGCAUAGCUUUCUUUCAUGAAGCUAUGACUUGAAUCUCGGUUCCCAUGUGGGCCAUUUUUGGUAAGCAGAAUUGGCGACGCGGGAUGAACCGAUAGUAGCUCUAAGGAACCUAAGCCGUCGGCUUAGACAGAACCCAUUGAAGGAUGUUGGUGUAGGAAGACAGCAGGGCCGUGGCCAUGGAAGUAGGAAUCGGCCAAGGAGUGUGUAACAACUCACCUGCCGACUGCACCAGCUCCCAAAAUGGACGAUGCUUAAGCCGCGCUCCGAUGGGCUACCGCCGCAGCCGUAGACACAAUCGGCCGGCGCGUAGGGGGGCGUGGGGCACGGGCAGAAGUGUGUGAGGUGACUCCACAUGGACCGUGCACCCAGUGCAGAUCUUGGUUGUAGUAGCGAUUAUUCUGUGGAGGACACAGAAGAUUGAAGCGGAGUCGGUUUCCAUGUGAACAGUACUUGGACAUGGGUUAGUCGGUCCUAACCCCCGAGGAAAUCCUCCUUGGAAAGGCCUCGCGACAAGGAGUAGUCGUUAACUCUCUCUCCGGGGAGUUGAUGGUUACUCCGUGUUCGUAGGCAUCGGGGGACAGGGAACUCGGUCCAACAUUCCGAGACCCACCUGUGGGGAUUAGAGGCUGCAAAGCAGUUGACAACGGAAGGCCGCAGGGUAGUCAAGCCCGAGGAGAGCUUUCUUUUCUCUUUGACAUUGCUGACGCCUCGAAUAACAUUCCAGUUGGAGAAAGGCGUCUGAACACAUAGAGAAAGCGGUGCACUCUCAGCGCCGUUCGGAGCCUUGAUUAUCCUCAUGGAAGACCUUCCUGAGAUCUCAUCCCUCACGGGCGGACCGUACCGAUAACCGCAUCCGGACUCCGAGGUGAAUAGCCUCUGGUCCAUGGAGCAAUGUGACCAAGGGAAGUCGGCAAAAUAGACGCGUAACUUCGGGAGAAGCGUUGGCUCCAAGGGCUGGAUGUCAGAAGCCAGCAACACUGACGGUUCUGGGGGCUGUGGAAUAGAUGAGUUCUCGGGUCCUCGGAUCUGAGAACAAGUCGGUUCCACGGCACCCCCUGAUGGGUUGUUGGAUUUUUGGCAUUGCGAACAGCCAACUUGGAACUGUCGCCGACAAGGGGAAUCCAACUGUUUAAUUGAAACAUAGCAUUGAGACUCGCACGUUGAGGCAGUCGUUGACUCAAGGUGCGUCCUGCCCAGUGCUCUGAAUGUUAAUGCAAAGAGAUUUUAUCAAGCUCGGGUAAACGGCGGGAGUAACUAUGACUCUCUUAAGGUAGCCAAAUGCCUCGUCUUCUAACUAAAGACGCGCAUGAAUGGAUUAAUGAGAUUCCCACUGUCCCUGGUUACUAUCCAGCGAACCAACAGCCAAGGGAACGGGCUUGAAGUCUUCAGCGGGGAAAGAAGACCCUGUUGAGUUUGACUCUAAUCUGGACUUGUGCAGUGACAUUCGAGGUGUAGGAUAGGUGGGAGAUGCGCAAGCAUCAACGGUGAAAUACCACUACUCGGAUUGUUGCUUUGCUCAUCGCAUCGAAUAGGAACGGCAGUCGCCCGGCUUUUGUCGGGUUGAGGAUCCCCCCUCGGGGAGAUCCGUGGCUUUUCCGAUUCGAGCGGUAACCACAGAUCUUUCUGUGGGACCUAUCGCUGCGAGACAUUGGCCAGAUGGGGAGUUUGGCUGGGGCGGCAUAUCUGUUAAACUCUAACGCAGGUGUCCUAAGGCACACUCAGUGAGAACAGAAAUCUUACGUGGCGGAUAAGGCCAAAAGUGUGCUUGAGCUCUCGAUCUCCAGUACUGAUCCAGACUGUGAAAGCAAGGCCUAACGAUCCUUUGUACUCAUCAUGUUCAGAGUACGAAGUCAGAGGUGACAGAAAAAUUACCACAGGGAUAACUGGCUUGUGGCAGCCAAGAGUCCAUAUCGACGCUGCUUUUUGAUCCUUCGAUGUCGGCUCUUCCUAUCCUUACCCUGCAGAAGAGGUAAAGGGUUGGAUUGUUCACCCAUCAAAAGGGAACGUGAGCUGGGUUUAGACCGUCGUGAGACAGGUU